AGGAAACCUAAACUAAACUAACUUUAUUUAUACUGGAUGGCUCUAUCAGUUCUAAACUGUUCUUCCUAGAGGUCCAGUAAGGAUCAUCUCUUAUUGAUCCAGUAUUACUACAGGAGGAAACCUAAACUAAACUAACUUUAUUUAUACUGGAUAGCUCUAUCAGUUCUAAACUGUUCUUCCUAGAGGUCCAGUAAGGAUCUUCUCUUAUUGAUCCAGUGUUACUACAGGAGGAAACCUAAACUAAACUAACUUUAUUUAUACUGGAUAGCUUUAUCAUACCUCUAACGCUCUUAUAUUGGCAGGAUUACUGCCAUGUUCUUGUUUCAAUUCAACACUCAGUAGUUUUAGUUCUCGACCAUACGCCAGUAUUUUCUCAAUUAAAUCACUAUUCACUAACACACACGACGAACGUUUCUGUGUCGCUUCU